GUUUUCUACAGGAGACAUGGGGGACAAAGGACAGAAAGGCAGUGUGGGUCGCCAUGGAAAAAUCGGUCCCAUUGGUGCUAAAGGUAUUCUAAUGCAGUUCUUGCCUCCCACUCCCUCCCAGGCUCGGAGCAUCUAAGGACAAUUGUAGAUGGACCUUCUUGCCUGGUGGUCUUACUAGUUUCUGUGUAUCAUGCCUGUAAAUUCUGCCCCAGUGCAUACUUUCAGAGUUGGAGCCAGCGGCUGCUCCACUCAUGGGAGAGGGGGAGGGCAGUGUGCGCUGGCAGCAGGACUUAGGGGUUCACCUUCCCGGGUGCAGGGCAGGAGCUGUGCAUGGCCAGCUUUGUGUUUUCAGCCACUCCUCUCAACAAGCGUGAUGCACAAGGUUUUCAUCACUGAAGUAAUGCCGGGCAUGUCAGGAAGCCGGUCCGCUCCUCCAGCUUUGGUUUCUCAGGCUUUGUGAGGCUGCGGGAUGAGUCAGCCAGAGCAGGACGCAGGUUGUCCCACCUAACAGGAGGUUGGGCCAGGGCUCCUGGCUGCCUGAGAGGGCCAGAGGGACCUGGGUUCCAGCGUGAGGUUACAAGUGUGUCCUCCCUUCCUGGCCCUGGCCGUUGCUAAGCCCAACCCCAGCUCCACCAUCCUGCAUGUAUCUGGAUUUCCGUGCUGCAGGGAGGGUCAGGAAGGAGCUGGCGUCCGAGCCAGCCACCUUCACCCUUGGAGCUGAGGAUCUGUGCGUGCUGCCUGCAGAGUUAUCCGGGGAAUACCCUGGCUUCCAGAGUGAGUCAACAGCAAGCACCUGUACCUCCUCGAGCCCCAGGACAUACACAGGGUCCUGUUCAUGCAGAGGGCACUCCCUGUCUUCCCUGCAAAGGAGGAUCUGGGAACUCUCAGGCUUGAAACCCGAAGGGAGAGGUUCAACUGGGACGCUUUUUACUCAGGGAACACAUCAGCUCUGAGUGGUGACCUUGACUCUGCUAUUCUUUUCCAGGUCAAAAAGGAGAUUCUGGUGAUAUGGGACCCCCUGGCCCUAACGGAGAGCCAGGUAUGGCAUAGCGACCUGAGGAUUUUUUUUUUUUAUUAUUUCUAUUUGUUCUACUUAAUUGUACACGACAGCAGAAUGCAUUCCAAUUCAUUGUACACACGUGGAGCGCAACAUUUCAAUUCUCGGGUUGUACAUGGUGUAAAGAUGCACCACUUGUGGAAUCAUACAUGUACCUAGGGUGAUGACGUCCACCUCAUUCCACCAUCUUUCCUACCCUCAUGACCCCUCCCCGCCUCCCCUUUGCCCAGUCC
rnacentral:lncRNA from 1 species